rnacentral:rRNA from 1 species
UACGUAGGUGGCAAGCGUUGUCCGGAUUUACUGGGCGUAAAGAGCGCGCAGGCGGUCGGAUUAGUCGCGUGUGAAAGCCCCCGGCUCAACUGGGGAGGGUCACGCGAUACUGUUCGACUCGAAGGCAGGAGAGGGAAGUGGAAUUCCCGGUGUAGUGGUGAAAUGCGUAGAUAUCGGGAGGAACACCGGUGGCGAAGGCGGCUCUCUGGUCCACAACUGACGCUGAGGUGCGAAAGCGUGGGGAGCAAACAGG